rnacentral:rRNA from 1 species
CCUACGGGUGGCUGCAGUGGGGAAUAUUGCACAAUGGGCGCAAGCCUGAUGCAGCCAUGCCGCGUGUGUGAAGAAGGCCUUCGGGUUGUAAAGCACUUUCAGCGGGGAGGAAGGCGUUAAGGUUAAUAACCUUGUCGAUUGACGUUACCCGCAGAAGAAGCACCGGCUAACUCCGUGCCAGCAGCCGCGGUAAUACGGAGGGUGCAAGCGUUAAUCGGAAUUACUGGGCGUAAAGCGCACGCAGGCGGUCUGUCAAGUCGGAUGUGAAAUCCCCGGGCUCAACCUGGGAACUGCAUUCGAAACUGGCAGGCUAGAGGCUUGUAGAGGGGGGUAGAAUUCCAGGUGUAGCGGUGAAAUGCGUAGAGAUCUGGAGGAAUACCGGUGGCGAAGGCGGCCCCCUGGACAAAGACUGACGCUCAGGUGCGAAAGCGUGGGGAGCAAACAGGAUGAGAUCCCUUGUAGUC